ACGGGAGGCAGCAGUGGGGAAUAUUGGACAAUGGGGGAAACCCUGAUCCAGCGACGCCGCGUGAGUGAAGAAGUAUUUCGGUAUGUAAAGCUCUAUCAGCAAGGAAGAAAAUGACGGUACUUGACUAAGAAGCCCCGGCUAACUACGUGCCAGCAGCCGCGGUAAUACGUAGGGGGCAAGCGUUAUCCGGAUUUAUUGGGUUUAAAGGGUGCGUAGGCUGUGCGACAAGUCAGGGGUGAAAGCCCGCCGCCCAACGGUGGAACUGCCUUUGAUACUGUCGCGCUGGAAUACGGAUGCCGUGGGAGGAAUGAGUAGUGUAGCGGUGAAAUGCAUAGAUAUUACUCAGAACACCGAUUGCGAAGGCAUCUCACGAAUCCGUCAUUGACGCUGAGGCACGAAAGCGUGGGGAUCAAACAGGAUUAGAUACCCUGGUA
rnacentral:rRNA from 1 species